GGGCGAGUGGCGGAAUUGGUAUACGCGCAUGGCUUAGGACCAUGUGGGGAAACCCGUGGAGGUUCAAGUCCUCUCUCGCCCACCA
rnacentral:tRNA from 1 species